AUGAAACAGAGCCCUGAUAGAGCUCUACAGCAGGGGAUACAGCCCACUGCAGAGGGACAAUAUAACCUAGUUAAAAUAAUAGGAGAAGAGGUAAUACAGCCCACUGCAGAGGGACAAUAUAACCUAGUUAAAAGAAUAGGAGAAGAGGUGAUACAGCCCACUGCAGAGGGACAAUAUAACCUAGUUAAAAUAAUAGGAGAAGAGGUAAUGAAAGUGGGGUCGUAAUGGUUUAUUAUUGUUAUUUUUUUGCAGAUGCGGUAGAGUAGCUACACAGUAACCAAGCAGGAAGCUAUGUGGAGGGGUCAAAAGGUCAAAUUUAUCAAGCACCAGAUAAGACCUAGAUGGGGUCAAAUCUCUGCCUUUCAACCUACUCUUAUCUGUGUCUCAAUUCAUCUUUCUGUGAUUCAUUGCAUCCUUCUCAAUCUUCUUGAAGGAGAAAGUCCAAUGUCCCUCCCCUUUGACCUUCUCCAACGUGUUUUGGGAAGGAGGCAAGGAGAGGGACUAGGCUAAUCGACGAAAGAUGAUGAAUUGAGAAAUAGCCCCAGUUGCUAUAAAAGACACUUACACUUCACACUCCACACAAAACCCCAACCUCCUUCAAGGUUCAAACGGCCCACUAAACCACUAAACAAGCCCGUAAUGAAUUACCCCUAGAUAGGAUUGUCCACUCCAUCACCAUUGAACACAUAAUAAUAAUAAUAAUAAUAAUAAUAAUAAUAAUAUGACAUCAUCUGUCUUAGUAUUGACUGGGCCAAGAGAGGGGAAAGACUACAGGGUUGUCAUCAGACAGGCCUUUGUGACUGAUAAUUACUAGUAUUCCUUAUCAUCACCCCGCGAUAAUAUUUAGACCUUGAUGGCCUCUUGCACGCGCGUGCACACACACACACACACACACACACACACACACACACUCCCUGUCACUUUAUAAUACACACAAUGCUAAACGGAUCCAGAUAGCGACUGACUGGGGUUAUUAUAUAGAAAGAGGGGGAAUAGAGCGACUGGAAGGACUGAUAAAGAGGAAGAAGAGUCUUUUGAGAGGCCCAUGAAUAGAACGUUUAUCACGGGGCCCGAUCUCUCUCGCUCUCUCUCUUCAUUGCAUAUUCUCGUCGCAUGACCACUUCUUGCCUGGUUGCCUCCCCCAGUCAUCUUGGAUCUCGGAGGUCUUACUAGCUGCUACAGCUUUUUUGGGAUGUAAAAAUCUCAAAUAAAUCUUCCUUGUUGACGGUCUUUGCACAGAGUUGAAACAAGGUUUAAAACAGCUUGUUCUAUGUUUGACGUGAUCCUGCUGUAAACCAGUUAGCAUGCUCUCUGACCAUAUCUAUUCAGUUUGGCUACCUCCGUUCUGUCACAUCACAGCAUUAGAUAAGGUCCCAGCCUUCAGAAAUGUGUCUGUUAGGUUGGGUAGAGUAAAUGUUGUUCAUCUGUAAUGACUGGUGUCAUGGUAGUAUAGAGUGUGUUGUCUGUUAGGUUGGACAGAGUAAAUGUUGUUCAUCUGUAAUGACUGGUAUCAUGGUAGUAUAGAGUGUGUUGUCUGUUAGGUUGGACAGAGUAAAUGUUGUUCAUCUGUAAUGACUGGUAUCAUGGUAGUAUAGAGUGNNNNNNNNNNCUCUCUCUCUUCAUUGCAUAUUCUCGUCGCAUGACCACUUCUUGCCUGGUUGCCUCCCCCAGUCAUCUUGGAUCUCGGAGGUCUUACUAGCUGCUACAGCUUUUUUGGGAUGUAAAAAUCUCAAAUAAAUCUUCCUUGUUGACGGUCUUUGCACAGAGUUGAAACAAGGUUUAAAACAGCUUGUUCUAUGUUUGACGUGAUCCUGCUGUAAACCAGUUAGCAUGCUCUCUGACCAUAUCUAUUCAGUUUGGCUACCUCCGUUCUGUCACAUCACAGCAUUAGAUAAGGUCCCAGCCUUCAGAAAUGUGUCUGUUAG
rnacentral:lncRNA from 13 species